rnacentral:misc_RNA from 1 species
AACCAUAGAAACCUGCGGAGUACCUGCGGAGGGAUCAUUACAGAGUUGCAAAACUCCCACAAACCAUCGCGAAUCUUACCCGUACGGUUGCCUCGGCGCUGGCGGUCCGGAAGGCCCUCGGGCCCCCGGACCCUCGGGUCUCCCGCUCGCGGGAGGCUGCCCGCCGGAGUGCCGAAACCAAACUCUUGAUAUUUUAUGUCUCUCUGAGUAAACUUUUAAAUAAGUCAAAACUUUUAGCAA